GUGCUCGAUUUGGCAGCACAUACACUAAAAUUGGAACGCUACUGAGAUUAGCAUGGCCUCUGCGCAACAAUGAUAGGCAAAUUCUUCAAGUAUUCCAUAUUUUU